CUGACCAUGUUCAUGUAGGUGGUUUUCCCAGGGUGAGGCUCAGCCAUUGCACUCUGGCUGUGCUGACCCCUGUGAUUUCUCCAAAUGUGGGAAACUCUACUG
rnacentral:snRNA from 1 species